GAUGAAGAACGCAGCGAAAUGCGAUAAGUAAUGCGAAUUGCAGAAUUUCCGUGAGUCAUCGAAUCUUUGAACGCACAUUGCGCCCUCUGGCAUUCCGGGGGGCAUGCCUGUCCGAGCGUCACGAAAACCCCAUCACACUCGUUGUGGUCAUGGCGGCAGUGGGCGUCCUCCAGCGGGGGACGCCCACGCCGCUGAAAGGAAUGGUGCGGAUGAGUCCCGACGGCCGAACGUAGUACUUGACAGUCGUCGGCCAGUCGGACCCUCCAUCUCGCCCUGACGACGGACCCCCGUCGUACCCUCAAAGGUGGACCUCGGAUCAGGUAGGGAUACCCGCUGAACUUAAGCAUAUCAAUAAGCGGAGGA
rnacentral:misc_RNA from 1 species